AGAUUGAACGCUGGCGGCAUGCCUAACACAUGCAAGUCGAACGGCACCACAGCACGGGGCAACCCGUGUGGGUGGCGAGUGGCGGACGGGUGAGUAAUGCAUGGGAAUCUACCCAGUAGCGGGGGACAACCCGGAGAAAUCCGGGCUAAUACCGCAUACGCCCUAAGGGGGAAAGCGGGGGACCGAAAGGCCUCGCACUAUUGGAUGAGCCCAUGUCGGAUUAGCUAGUUGGUAGGGUAACGGCCUACCAAGGCGACAAUCCGUAGCUGGUCUGAGAGGACGAUCAGCCACACCGGAACUGAGACACGGUCCGGACUCCUACGGGAGGCAGCAGUGGGGAAUAUUGGACAAUGGGGGCAACCCUGAUCCAGCAAUGCCGCGUGUGUGAAGAAGGCCUGCGGGUUGUAAAGCACUUUCAGUGGGGACAAAAAGCGCCGUGGUAAUACCGCGGCUUUUGAUUUAACCCAUAGAAGAAGCACCGGCUAACUCUGUGCCAGCAGCCGCGGUAAUACAGAGGGUGCGAGCGUUAAUCGGAAUUACUGGGCGUAAAGCGCACGUAGGCGGCGUGAUAAGUUGGAUGUGAAAUCCCCGAGCUUAACUUGGGGAUUGCAUUCAAGACUGUCACGCUAGAGUCUGGGAGAGAGAAAUGGAAUUCCAGGUGUAGCGGU
rnacentral:rRNA from 1 species